rnacentral:rRNA from 1 species
UACGUAGGGCGCAAGCGUUGUCCGGAUUUAUUGGGCGUAAAGAGCUCGUAGGCGGUCUGUCGCGUCGGCUGUGAAACCCCGAGGCUCAACCUCGGGCCUGCAGUCGAUACGGGCAGACUAGAGUGUGGUAGGGGAGACUGGAAUUCCUGGUGUAGCGGUGAAAUGCGCAGAUAUCAGGAGGAACACCGGUGGGCGAAGGCGGGGUCUCUGGGCCAUAACUGACGCUGGAGGAGCG